UUAAUGAGGGAUUUUGGCAGAGAACAUGCGUGAUUUUCGGGUUAAACGGGGGAUUUCUGCAAAAAAAAAUCAUGAUUCUCGGGUAAAAUUUGGUGUAGUUGAAGAGAAAAUGCAUGAUUUUGGGGUUAAAUGGGGGAUUUUGGAAGAGAAAAUGCGCGUUGUUUGAGAUAAACAGGGGAUUUUUGUAGAGCAAAUGCAUGAUUUUGGGGUUAAAUGGGGGAUUUUCCAAGGGAAAAUUUGUGAUUUUCGGGUUAAAUGGGGGACUUUCCAAGGAAAGGCAUGAUUUUCAGGUAAAAUGGGGGAUUUUGGAAGAGCAAAUGUGUGAGUUUUGGUUAAAUGGGGGGUUUUCCAGAGAAAAUGCAUGACUUUCUGUUCAGUGGAGGAUUUUUGUGGUGAAAAUGCGUGGUGUUCAGGUUAAAGCAGGGAUUUUCGAUGAGAAAAUACAUGAUUUGGGGGUUAAAUGUGUUUGUUUGUUUGUUUGUUUUAAGAGAAAACUUGUGAUUUUUGAUGAAUUAUGUAUUUUUGAAGUGAAAAUGCGUGGUUUUCAGGUAAGAUCAGGGAUUCUUGAAGAGAAAAUGCAUCAUUGUCGGGUUACAUCGGGGAUUUCCAAAGAGAAAUCGCCUUUUUUUUUUUUUUUCUGGUUAAAUGGGGGAUUUUUGAAGAGAAAAUGAGUGAUUUUCAGAUUAAAUGGGGGAUUGUUGAAGGGAAAAUGUGUGAUUUUUGGAUUUAAACAGCUAUUUUUGUAGAGAAUAGGCAUGAUUUUUGGUUUAAAAGAGGGAUUCUCAAAGAGAAAAUGCAUUAUGUUUGUUUAAGUGGGGUAUUUUUGAAGGGAAAAUGUGUGAUUUUCGGGUCAAAUGGGGGAUUCUCGAAGAGAAAUUGCAUUUUUUUUCUGGUUAAAUGGGGGAUUUCCGAAGAGAA
ensembl:lncRNA